rnacentral:rRNA from 1 species
UACGUAGGGUGCAACGUUGUCCGGAAUCAUUGGGCGUAAAGCGCGCGUAGGUGGCUUCGUAAGUCCGUUGUGAAAGUCAAAGGCUCAACCUUUGGAAUGCCGAUGGAUACUGCGAAGCUAGAGUACGGAAGAGGCGAGUGGAAUUCCUGGUGUAGCGGUGGGAAUGCGCAGAUAUCAGGAGGAACACCAAUAGCGAAGGCAGCUCGCUGGGGACGUUACUGACGCUGAGACGCGAAAGCGUGGGGAGCAAACAGG